GCCCGAUGAACCUGAAUAUCCGUUAUGGAAAAUUCAUCAUUAAAAUUGUAAUAUUUAAAUAAUAUUAUGAGGAUAGUGUGCAUUUUUUCCAUAUAAGGACAUUGUAAUCUAUUAGCAUAUCCCAAAUUUAUCAUAAAAUAUAACUUAUAGUUUAUUCAAAUUAAAGUGCUUGCAUUUUAACACAGAAUAAAUGUUAUUAAUUUGAUAAAGUGCUGAUAGAUUUAUAUGAUUACAGUGCGUUAAUUUUUCGGAAUUAUAUAAUGGCAUAAUUAUCAUUGAUUUUUAUGUUUAUUAUAUGCACUUGUAUGAUUAACAAUGCGAAAGAUUCAGGAUACUUCGGG
rnacentral:rRNA from 1 species